CGGACGGCGCGCAUGCGUGCGGCCCCCGCUCCCCCGGGGCUCGUCGGCCCCGUGCGUGCGCACGCGCGCUGUCCCCCGGAGGCGUCUGGGUGUGCGGAGCGCGCGCGCGCGGCUCGGAGGCGCACCUGUGAGGUGUCCCUUGAGGAGAGGGAGGGUGGGUGCGCGGAGCCCGCGGCCUGGGGCGCUUCAACCCCUCACUUGGAAGCGCCCUGCGUCCCAGCAGAGCCGGCCGAGCCCCCCGCCCAGGUGAUGAGGAAGCCUUCGCGCCCCCUGCGCAGAUCGCCGCUGCCGCUGGACGCCGCCUCCAUUGUUUGACCACAACAAGGGCCGGAUUCUCACCCAGGAGGAGCCCGCUCUGUACUCUUUCCCGUUGCUAGUUUGUUUGUUGGUUGUCUUGCUGCAACAAAGGAGACCAGACCUGCAAAUCUAAGAGAUACAUCUCUCUGGAAGAUAAGAGAGCUUCUUCCUCGAGAUCAAAAAAGGAGACUGGAGUGAUACCCAUGUAGGGAAUCCCCUGAAGGAAGGAUUGGCACACGUGGAACCCAAGGAGCUUGCUUCCUGGGAAGGCUUCUGUCUGAUGUGUAGGAGGCAGAACGUCAUACUGACUCUUCAAGGGGAGGCUACAGGGGAUCGAGAUCAACACGCAGUAUCUCACCCUCCACCACAGGGGACACUGUGCGGUCCUUUUUCUAGAAGUGGGAAGUACGAGAUUGUUCUACAAGAGGAAGAUUCCGGGGGCUUAAAAACGCAGAGGUUUGCACCUUGGGAGCCCCUUGGAAUGUUGACAACUCAGGAUCUGAAGGAAAGUUCUGUGUUCAUGAGUUACAGAAUUCAUGUGGGAGUAAAUGUCACUUUAUGAUCAGUAAUAAUACUGAGUGAGGAGCACUAUGCAGGAAGAAACCUUCCAUAGAAAGACGGGCAGGGAGAAGCUUAGGCCAACCAUAGCCCUACCGAAUAGAGCAAGCCUGAGAUAAACUGCCAGGAUGGCCAAAUAAGA